CCGGAGGGGAGAUCUGUUGCAUGGACUACAGACCAGAGUGGCAGGUAUCUUGGGCUGGUACUAUUAUGUGACUAUGCCAACAUCCACCUUCACUAUUGCCAUUGGGUGCUGUCAGGAAGUUAAACAGCAGCCCUUCACAGCUGAGGUUCAGACAAACAAUGCAUUUUCCUUGCCAUUUUCCCGAGCUGAUCUCAGAUGGCAUGAAGAAUGCUGUGGUCAUGUGCUGUUUUCAAAAAUCCUGUUGCCAGGUUGCAGGCAGUCACUCCUUAUAGUCUUUGCUCCCUGGUGCCUUAUGGAAAGCUGCAAAGAACUUGUACCCCAGUGCCUCUCUGCUGCUUACACCACACUGGGUACCCAUCCCUUCUCCAGACUUGAUGUUUUGAUAGUCCCUUCCAACUUUUCCAGUCUGGGAAUGGCUAGGUAAAGAAAUGUCUUGGUCUCUCCUUUUGUAUUUUGUUAGGCUGUCAUGAGGGUGAAAAUCCAUUCAUAGCCAAUGUUUAGAUACGCUGUUGUAAUGAAUGCCUGUCCUUCACUUGAUUUAGAUCUUUCAGUCUUUUUUUUUUUUUUCUGGCUUGCCUAUGGAAAAAGAGGGAGAAAAUUAAAGGUUAAUGUUUGUUUGG